GACGUUCCAGGAGCUAGUGGCCUCUUCACCCUGGUGACCUCUGUUCCGUAUUCUGUCACUGAGAGACGCCCUGGGACAUCUGUGGUGGCUUUUGUCGCGCUGGGACCUACCCUGACUACGGGAGUUGGGAGGACCCGGGACACCGCACAGCCGGGAAAUGGCCCUGUGUUAUGGAACUUUCUGGGGCUACCCUAAGAUGCUGGAAGCUGCCAAUCUCAUGGAGGGCCUAGUGGAUAUCGGCCCUUGGGUCACUCUUCCCAGAGGACAGCCUGAGGUGUUGGAGUGGGGCCUCCCAAAGGAUCAGGCUGGAGAACUUGGGACAGUGGAUAAGUCUGGACUCAGUGGCCUUUGAGGAUGUGGCUGUGAACUUCACCCAUGAGGAGUGGGCUUUGCUGGGUCCAUCACAGAAGAAUCUCUACAGAGAUGUGAUGCGAGAAACCAUUAGGAACCUGAACUGUAUAGGAAUGAAAUGGGAAAACCAGAACAUUGAUGAUCAGCACCAAAAUCUCAGGAGAAA
rnacentral:lncRNA from 1 species